rnacentral:rRNA from 1 species
CCGAAGGGUGACGAAGCGACGCCGCGUGGGUGAGGAAGGCCUUCGGGUUGUAAAGCCCUGUCAGGAGUUAAGAAAUGUAAGUGCGCUAAUAUCGCAUUUAUUUGACGAAGGCUCCAAAGGAAGUCACGGCUAACUCUGUGCCAGCAGCCGCGGUAAUACAGAGGUGGCAAGCGUUGUUCGGAAUUAUUGGGCGUAAAGAGCACGUAGGUGGGUUUGUAAGUCAGAUGUGAAAGCCUUCUGUUCAACGGAAGAAUUGCAUCUGAAACUGCGAGUCUUGAGUGUAGGAGGGGAGAAUGGAACUUCUGGUGGGGCGGUGAAAUGCGUAGAUAUCAGAAGGAACGCCGGCGGCGAAAGCGAUUCUCUGGCCUAUUACUGACACUCAGUGUGCGAA